rnacentral:lncRNA from 1 species
CAAUAAUGUUCAGCAAAGUAAGAUUUACAAAUAAGUCAACAUGACCAAAAUGGUCAGUUGACCACUUUAGGAGUUAUUGCCCUUUAUAGUCAAUUUUUAACCAUUUUUCGUAAAUCUUAGUAAUCUUUUACAAAAAUCUUCUCCUCUGAAACUACUGGGCCAAAUUUAACCAUACUUGGCCACAAUCAUCAUUGGGGUAUCUAGUUUAAAAAAUGUGUGGCAUGACCCGACCAACCAACCAAGAUGGCCAGCACGGCUAAAAAUAGAACAUAGGGGUAAAAUACAGUUUUUGGCUUAUAACUCAAUAACCAAAGCAUUUAGAGCAAAUUGUUUAUCAGGUCAAGAUCUAUCUGCCCUGAAAUUUUCAGAUGGAUUGGACAACUGGUUGUUGGGUUGCUGUCCCUGAAUUGGUAAUUUUAAGGAAAUUUUGCCGUUUUUUGUUAUUUUCUUGAAUAUUAUUAUAGAAAGAGAUAAACUGUAAACAGCAAUAAUGUACAGCAAAGUAAGACCUAAAGAUAAGUCAACAUGACCAAAAGGGUCAAUUGACCCCCUAAGGAGGUAUUGUCUUUUAUAGUCAAGUUUUAACAAUUUUCAUAAAAUUUGUAAAUUUUUACUAACAUUUUCAACUGAAACUACUGGGCCAAGUUCAUUAUAGAUAGAGAUAAUUGUAAGCAGC